AGAUUAGAGCUCCUGGAAGGCAGAGACCACAUUGUUCUUUUUCUUUGCAGUUCGCAGGCCUAACUCAGCACAUGGAACAAGGGUCCUGUUCUAGGUGCCAGUUGUCACCCAUGACCUGCGUGGGGAGGAAAUAAGUAACUCUCUGAGUGUGAGCCCUCUGGAAGUAAAAAGUCUGAAAAAGUAAUAUCAAGAAAUGAAGCAAAGUACUCAGGAAAAUAUUUACAAAGCCGGGCAUGAUAGGUGGGAGAGACCUGAUGGGUCUAAUCCUAACAAAGUGUAAGGGUCCGGCGAACGUUGGAGGAAGAGACCACCAAGAGACCGACUCAUGCAACCACAAAAGGGGGUUUAUUGAGGAUCCAGCAUGCUGGGGCUCCGUGCUCACUCAAGAAGGAAGAGCGGCCAAGAGCCCCGAGCAGGGAGCCUCUGCGUGAUCCUCACCCCUCUCAAACUCCACCGCCUCCUCUGGACCUUGAUGAGAGCUGCAACUUCUCCCUAUGCAACUGGUCUUCCAUUCCACGCCAGGAAAAGCCUGCCUUGGUUCCGGACCUGAUCACUGUGGUCUGAGUGAGUGUGCAUCUGCUGGACUCAAAGCCUAAGACUUAAGACCUUUGAACUUAGCAUGCAGAGGAAAUGUCUGUCAUUAGCCUAUCAUAACUCAGUGUGUUUUGCAGUGCUUAGAAUUAAUCUAGAAUUGUUUGCUCUGAAUUAACUAAUCUAGAAUUGUUUGCUGUGAAUUGAUUAUGUUUAUUGCAGUGCCUAGCAUUAAGGAUUGUUGUUUUCUUGAUUAAGAACCUAUAGAGUGAAAUUGUAUUGAGUCAUUUGAAUGAAUAAAGCAUUGAAAUGGGCAGAA